rnacentral:rRNA from 1 species
CGACCGGCGCACGGGUGAGUAACACGUAUCCAACCUGCCGUCUACUCUUGGACAGCCUUCUGAAAGGAAGAUUAAUACAAGAUGGCAUCAUGAGUCCGCAUGUUCACAUGGUUAAAGGUAUUCCGGUAGACGAUGGGGAUGCGUUCCAUUAGAUAGUAGGCGGGGUAACGGCCCACCUAGUCUUCGAUGGAUAGGGGUUCUGAGAGGAAGGUCCCCCACAUUGGAACUGAGACACGGUCCAAACUCCUACGGAAGGCAGCAG